rnacentral:lncRNA from 1 species
CUUGGAAUUGGAGAGUGAUGCUUUUGUAGUGUUUCUUUUUCUGCUCUUUUGUUAUUAUAGGUUUCAGUUGCACUACAAGAUAUUGACUAUAUUGAGUAUAUUCUUAAUUUUUCAGGGACUACAUGAAAACAUCAGAGGUGUUGGCUUGGUUUGGGAAAUGGUAGAGGAAUGCUUAGGUUAAUUUUAAUUUGGUUGCUUUGGUGUUCUGAACUCAUCAGCUGGUUGCAAGAAAUGGUCUGUUGGGAGCUUAUUAUUCACGUUGUAGUAAACCAAUUAUGUUGUCUUGUGCUGGUUGUUAUCUUAUUAAGGUUGAGAAUCAUAUAUAGGAAGAACCUUUGUAUUAGCAUAUUAGCAUA